UACGUAGGGUGCGAGCGUUAAUCGGAAUUACUGGGCGUAAAGCGUGCGCAGGCGGUAAGUUAAGUCUGAUGUGAAAGCCCCCGGGCUCAACCUGGGAAUGGCAUUGGAAACUGGCUUGCUAGAGUGUGGCAGAGGGGGGGUGGAAUUCCGCGUGUAGCAGUGAAAUGCGUAGAGAUGCGGAGGAACACCGAUGGCGAAGGCAGCCCCCCUGGGCCAACACUGACGCUCAGGCACGAAAAGCGUGGGGGAGCAAAACAG
rnacentral:rRNA from 1 species